rnacentral:rRNA from 1 species
GAGGAAUAUUGGUCAAUGGGCGAGAGCCUGAACCAGCCAAGUAGCGUGCAGGAUGACGGCCCUCCGGGUUGUAAACUGCUUUUAGUCGGGAAUAAAACAGCGGACUUGUCCGCUCUUGUAUGUACCUUCAGAAAAAGGACCGGCUAAUUCCGUGCCAGCAGCCGCGGUAAUACGGAAGGUCCAGGCGUUAUCCGGAUUUAUUGGGUUUAAAGGGAGCGUAGGCGGAUUGUUAAGUCAGCGGUUAAAGGGUGUGGCUCAACCAUGCAUUGCCGUUGAAACUGGCGAUCUUGAGUGCAGACAGGGAUGCCGGAAUUCGUGGUGUAGCGGUGAAAUGCUUAGAUAUCACGAAGAACUCCGAUCGCGAAGGCAGGUGUCCGGGCUGCAACUGACGCUGAGGCUCGAAAGUGUGGGUAUCAAACAGGAUUAGAUACCCUGGUAGUCCACACAGUAAACGAUGUAUACUCGCGGUUUGCGAUAGACAGUAAGCCGCCAAGCGAAAGCAUUAAGUAUACCACCUGGGGAGUACGCCGGCAACGGUG